ACGCUCGACACCUACGGGGGGCAGCAGUGGGGAAUAUUGCACAAUGGGGGAAACCCUGAUGCAGCGACGCCGCGUGAGCGAAGAAGUAUCUCGGUAUGUAAAGCUCUAUCAGCAGGGAAGAAGAUGACGGUACCUGACUAAGAAGCACCGGCUAAAUACGUACCAGCAGCCGCGGUAAUCUGAGCGGGCUGGCAAGGC
rnacentral:rRNA from 1 species